rnacentral:tRNA from 1 species
GCCUGGGUGGCUCAGUUGGUUAGACAUCUGACUUCGGCUCAGGUCAUGAUCUAGAGGUUUGUGGGUUCGAGCCCCAUGUCAGGCU